AUUGAACGCUGGCGGCAGGCCUAACACAUGCAAGUCGAGCGGUAGCACAGAGAGCUUGCUCUCGGGUGACGAGCGGCGGACGGGUGAGUAAUGUCUGGGAAACUGCCUGAUGGAGGGGGAUAACUACUGGAAACGGUAGCUAAUACCGCAUAACGUCGCAAGACCAAAGUGGGGGACCUUCGGGCCUCAUGCCAUCAGAUGUGCCCAGAUGGGAUUAGCUAGUAGGUGGGGUAACGGCUCACCUAGGCGACGAUCCCUAGCUGGUCUGAGAGGAUGACCAGCCACACUGGAACUGAGACACGGUCCAGACUCCUACGGGAGGCAGCAGUGGGGAAUAUUGCACAAUGGGCGCAAGCCUGAUGCAGCCAUGCCGCGUGUGUGAAGAAGGCCUUCGGGUUGUAAAGCACUUUCAGCGGGGAGGAAGGCGAUAAGGUUAAUAACCUCAUCGAUUGACGUUACCCGCAGAAGAAGCACCGGCUAACUCCGUGCCAGCAGCCGCGGUAAUACGGAGGGUGCAAGCGUUAAUCGGAAUUACUGGGCGUAAAGCGCACGCAGGCGGUCUGUCAAGUCGGAUGUGAAAUCCCCGGGCUCAACCUGGGAACUGCAUUCGAAACUGGCAGGCUAGAGUCUUGUAGAGGGGGGUAGAAUUCCAGGUGUAGCGGUGAAAUGCGUAGAGAUCUGGAGGAAUACCGGUGGCGAAGGCGGCCCCCUGGACAAAGACUGACGCUCAGGUGCGAAAGCGUGGGGAGCAAACAGGAUUAGAUACCCUGGUGGUCCACGCCGUAAACGAUGUCGAUUUGGAGGUUGUGCCCUUGAGGCGUGGCUUCCGGAGCUAACGCGUUAAAUCGACCGCCUGGGGAGUACGGCCGCAAGGUUAAAACUCAAAUGAAUUGACGGGGGCCCGCACAAGCGGUGGAGCAUGUGGUUUAAUUCGAUGCAACGCGAAGAACCUUACCUGGUCUUGACAUCCACAGAACUUUCCAGAGAUGGAUUGGUGCCUUCGGGAACUGUGAGACAGGUGCUGCAUGGCUGUCGUCAGCUCGUGUUGUGAAAUGUUGGGUUAAGUCCCGCAACGAGCGCAACCCUUAUCCUUUGUUGCCAGCGGUUAGGCCGGGAACUCAAAGGAGACUGCCAGUGAUAAACUGGAGGAAGGUGGGGAUGACGUCAAGUCAUCAUGGCCCUUACGACCAGGGCUACACACGUGCUACAAUGGCAUAUACAAAGAGAAGCGACCUCGCGAGAGCAAGCGGACCUCAUAAAGUAUGUCGUAGUCCGGAUUGGAGUCUGCAACUCGACUCCAUGAAGUCGGAAUCGCUAGUAAUCGUAGAUCAGAAUGCUACGGUGAAUACGUUCCCGGGCCUUGUACACACCGCCCGUCACACCAUGGGAGUGGGUUGCAAAAGAAGUAGGUAGCUUAACCUUCGGGAGGGCGCUUACCACUUUGUGAUUCAUGACUGGGGUGA
rnacentral:rRNA from 1 species